ACAACGCUGGCGGAGGCCUACACCUGCAGUUUUAGCGCGCCUUCGGGCGAGCGGCGGACGGGUUAGUAACGCGUGGGAACGUGCCCAAAUCUACGGAAUAGCCACUGGAAACGGUGAGUAAUACCGUAUACGCCCUUCGGGGGAAAGAUUUAUCGGAUUUGGAUCGGCCCGCGUUAGAUUAGGUAGUUGGUGGGGUAACGGCCUACCAAGCCUACGAUCUAUAGCUGGUUUUAGAGGAUGAUCAGCAACACUGGGACUGAGACACGGCCCAGACUCCUACGGGAGGCAGCAGUGGGGAAUCUUGGACAAUGGGGGCAACCCUGAUCCAGCCAUGCCGCGUGAGUGAAGAAGGCCCUAGGGUCGUAAAACUCUUUCGCCUGUGAUGAUAAUGACAGUAGCAGGUAAAGAAACCCCGGCUAACUCCGUGCCAGCAGCCGACGGUAAUACGGAGGGGGUUAGCGUACGUUCGGAAUUACUGGGCGUAAAGCGCACGUAGGCGGAUUAGAAAGUUAGAGGUGAAAUCCCGGGGCUCAACCCCGGAACUGCCUUUAAAACUACUAGUCUAGAGUUCGAGAGAGGUGAGUGGAAUUCCGAGUGUAGAGGUGAACUUCGUAGAUAUUCGGAGGAACACC
rnacentral:rRNA from 1 species